rnacentral:misc_RNA from 1 species
AUGUCCACAUUGGUCAACGCUUUGGGAUUCUUCACGUCUUCCACUCCAGCUGCAGCAGCGACAAAGGACGUCCGUAGCAAAGAAGAAAUUCUCAAGAGAAGAAAGGACACCAUUGGAUCAAAAUGUCAAAUCUUCUAUUCGGAUGAUCCGUUCAUGGUAUCCCGAGCUUCAAUGCAAUAUCUCUACGAUGAAAAAAGCAACAAAUUCUUGGAUUGCAUCAGCAAUGUCCAACAUGUUGGUCACUGUCAUCCAAAAGUCGUCGAAGCCAUCUCAAAGCAGUUGGCUACUUCUACUUGUAACGUUCGUUUUGUGUCAACUCAGCUUACUGAUUGUGCUGAACAAAUUCUUUCGACACUUCCAGGACUUGACACUGUUCUUUUCUGUAAUUCUGGAUCGGAAGCCAAUGAUCUUGCACUUCGUCUUGCAAGGGACUACACCAAACACAAAGAUGCAAUUGUCAUUGAACAGUUAGUACAUUUAUAAUGAAUUUAAUGGUAAUUUUCUAUUUUCAGCGCUUACCAUGGUCAUGUCACCACCACAAUGGAACUCUCCCCAUAUAAAUUCGAUCAUGGAUCAACGGUUUCUCAACCAGACUGGGUUCACGUGGCUCCAUGCCCAGAUGUAUUCCGUGGAAAGCACAGACUUGCUGACAAUGAACUGACAAAUGAGGAUAAGCUGUAUGCUGCUGGAAAGCAAUAUUCAGAUGAUGUCAAGAGUAUUCUCAAUGAUGUGGAAUCACGUCAAUGUGGAGUUGCUGCUUACUUUGCAGAAGCUCUUCAAUCUUGUGGAGGACAAGUUAUUCCACCAAAGGAUUACUUCAAAGAUGUAGCCACCCAUGUCAGAAAUCAUGGAGGUCUCAUGAUUAUCGAUGAAGUACAGACUGGAUUUGGAAGAAUUGGAAGAAAGUAUUGGGCCCAUCAGUUGUAUGAUGACGGAUUUUUGCCCGAUAUUGUGACAAUGGGUAAACCAAUGGGAAAUGGGUUCCCAGUCUCUGCAGUUGCGACAAGAAAGGAGAUUGCGGAUGCUUUGGGUGGAGAAGUUGGAUAUUUUAACACAUACGGGGGAAACCCAGUGGCGUGUGCAGCAGUUAUCUCGGUGAUGAAAGUGGUAAAGGACGAGAAUCUUUUAGAGCACAGUCAACAAAUGGGAGAGAAGCUUGAAGUUGCUCUCAGAGAUUUGCAAAAGAAACAUGAAUGUAUCGGAGAUAUCAGAGGAGUUGGUCUUUUCUGGGGAAUCGAUUUGGUCAAGGAUAGAAAUACUCGUGAACCCGAUCAAAAACUCGCAAUCGCCACAAUUUUGGCUCUCCGAAAAAGUUACGGAAUUCUUUUGAACGCUGAUGGUCCACACACAAAUAUUCUCAAAAUCAAGCCACCACUGUGUUUCAACGAGAAUAAUAUUCUGGAAACUGUGACAGCACUCGAUCAAGUGCUCACUUUGAUGAACCGAUGA